rnacentral:lncRNA from 1 species
CUGGUACAAGGUGGCAACACGGCUGAGAUCAGAGGGGCACAGAGUCACAGCGCUUGACUCGGCAGCUUGUGGCAUUAACCCAAAGCAGGUUCAAGAGGUCCAGUCCUAUACUGACUACUAUGAACCCCUGAUGGAGUUUAUGGCCACCUUAGCACCAGAUGAGAAGGUGAUUCUGGUGGGCCACAGCUAUGGUGGAUAUGGCGUGUCGAUAGCCAUGGAGGCUUACCCUGAAAAGAUUGCUGUUGCUGUUUUCGUUGCUGCUAAUAUGCCUGGUCCAGACCUUACUUAUCUCACCAUCUCUCAAAGGUAAUUACUAAUUUAUGAGUCUAUCAUACAUAAUAUUCGGAUACAUAUCUAAAGCGAAUUAGAGCCUUGUUAAUCAUAAAUGCUAGGCUUCAUAUAUACACUCUGUCUUCAAUUUUCAUUCUCUCAGAAUUUCGGUUAGGCAUGUCUAACUAUUAAGGUUGGUAACUUUUACGUCGUUGUGAUGUCAACCCUUUUGUGAACUAUAGAUCUACAACAAAGUACUGGGGUCAUUCAAGGAUGAUAUGUACACAAUUGAUCAAAGCUCGGAUGGACGUGUAAUCUCCUACAUCUUAAAACCAGAGGCGUUGGCCUCCAAACUGUAUCAGCUCUCACCAACUGAGGUAUGUAAGUAUAUAAUGCAUCUCCAUAAAAUCAGUAUUGUGUUUGAGUGUUUGCAUGACUUGGUUUAUAUCACAUCUUCCUGUUAUGUAUGUUAGUCUGAAAUUGCAAUUAGGUGGACGAUAAUUAAUUAGCCAAAACUCAGAAAAGUAGACAACAUAAUUUUUUCGUGAUAAGUUUUUUGAAGGUUUUCAGUUCUGGUAGAGGUUUUACCAUGGGGCAGUUAACUUUUAUAUAUUUUUAAUUAGCAAAGCUUUUAUAAUUUACAGGAUCUGACUCUAGCAACUAUGUUGGUGAGGCCACAUUCUUCACAAGCCGACACAAAUGCAUCAGAAAUACUGAUGGUGAGUAAAGAAAAGUAUGGUUCAGUUCAUCGUGUUUAUAUUGUGGCGGAUCAAGAUAUGUUGCUACCGGAAGAAAUACAAAGGUGGAUGAUUCAAAUGAAUCCACCAAAUGAGGUGAAGGUGAUCCAGGGUUCUGAUCACAUGACCAUGUUCUCAAAGCCACAGGAGCUCUGCUCUUGCCUUCUAGCAAUUGCCCAGCAAAACUGCUGAUGAAUUGCAGUACUCUGCGUUCCUUCUCAGAACGGGCAUUAUUUCUGUCAUCUAUAGAGAACCUAAGGUAAAUUUGAUUUGUAUGAAUGAGUCGCAGUAACAAUGUACUACAAUAAUUGAGCUUUGCAAUUAUGAGACAAGGCCUUCCUGUACGCUCUGCAUCCACCAGGGGUGUUUAUCAAACUGCCCACACCGCAUAAACCGCCCGCACUGCUCCGCACCGCACCGCAAAACGCGGUUUUUCUUUUCGUGGUACGGUUGCGGGCUGAAAUUUUAACAAACCGCGCGGUGCGGUUUGACAUUAUACAUGUGCGGUUCAAACCGCACCGCACCGUCAUUUUCUAAUGUAUAAAAAUAUAUCACAUAUAAUUACAAAUAUUUAUAUUAUAUAGAAUAUAGAUAGAUUAUUUAUUAUGAUAUUAUCUCCUAUAUGUGUGUAUAUAUGUUCAAGUUACUCAACUUAAUUUUAAUAAUUUUACAAUAUAAAUUAAUGUUAGUUUUAAUUCGACAAAUUAAAUAUUAUAAUUAUAUUUUUUUUCUAUAAAAUGACUUGUAAGUGUUGAAAUCUUUUCAUCUUCAUCAUUAUUAUACUCAUAUUUUAGUUUAUAUAUCUUUUAAUGAGUAUCGUAACUCUAAAUUUGUGUGUGUAUUAUAUAAAUUAUUUUUCAAUACAUAUAUUUUAAAAUUAUAUUUAUAUUGUCAUUUAAAAGUAUAAUUUUUUGAAUGUAUAAACCACGCAAACCGCAUGAACCGCACCGCAGUUUUGUGGUGUGGUUUACGUGGUUUUUAUAUUACGCGGUGCGGUUGCGGUUUACGAAUUUCCCCAAACCGCAUGCGUGGGUUGAUUUGCGAUUUUAGGAAAAAACCGCAUCGCCCGCACCGCGAACACCCCUAGUAUCCACAUCUAAAAGUAUGGGAUAGUAGCUAUGUGACUUUUUCAUACCAUCUAACUCAUCAAAUCAGUGAUAAUGAUUGUAAGCGACAAUGAUUGUAAUCAUAAAGCACUCCUCAUCCCAAAAUAAGUGUCUGCUUUGACUUUUUGCACGUUAUUUAAGAUAGUUAAAAAAAACAUAGUUCGACACAUUAUUUUUCAAAUUUUUUUUUCCUGAAUAAUAUUAUAAAUGUUAAACUUUUAUUCAGAAAAAGAAAAUUCGGAAAAUAACAUGUCGAAAUAUAUUUUUUGUGCAUCUUAAAUUACGUGAAAAAAAUCAAAAGGACACUUAUUUUGGAACGGAGGGAGUAUAAUCAAUAGAUACCACUCAAUAAAUGUAUGGUUAUACACACUUAUCCAUUUAGAGAAGAAACUUGUAUAGAAGCCAAUUAUCAGCAGUGUUAACAAUUAAGAUCCAGAUGACUGAAAUUAGAGAGGCGCACUUUGUACUGGUUCAUGGAUCUUGUCAUGGGGCAUGGUGCUGGUACAAGGUGGCAACACAACUGAGAUCAGAGGGACACAGAGUCACUGCACUGGACUUCGCGGCUUGUGGGAUCAACCAGAAGCCGCUGCAAGAAGUCCAUUCCUGCCACGACUACUUCGAACCCCUCCUCGAGUUUAUGACCACCUUACCUCUAGAUGAGAAGGUGGUUCUGGUGGGUCACAGCUUUGGUGGAGUUGGCUUGUCCCUCGCUAUGGAAACCUUUCCAGAAAAAAUUUCUGUUGCUGUUUUCGUAACCGCUCUUAUGCCUGGUCCGGACCUUUCUUACGUUACUAUCUCUAAUGAGGUGACUUUAUCUUUAUUAAAAAAAAACAGAAUUGAGUAACCCAAAUGUUUAAAAUUAGCACAAAUUCUCAGAAACAGAAUGGUGUUUGCUGUGUUGUCAACAUUUUUUUUUUGUGUGCAAAUACUUCAGAUUAAAAAAGUGUUCGAAUCAUCAAGCGUAGAAUAUUUUACAGUUGAUGAAAGCUUUGAUAAACAUAUAUUUUCUCCGUCUCUUAUUAUUUUUCCUGUAUGCUUUAUCAUGUUUGCCAACACAUAUUUUGCAUCGUCAAUAUCUAUAAUUUCGUAUUAGUAUUAAAUAUAAAAUCUUACUGUAUUAAAGUACUCAUGAAUACGAAUCCAACAAAAUCAUUCACAAUUAUAUUUAAUCUUACAGAUUAGACGCAAAUUAAUAAUUUGUCUAAUGUUAUGAACAGUUCCGACCUAUCAAAGGAGUAAAGCAAAAAGAAACGGAGGGAGUAGUAAACUUUACACCCGAGGCAUUGGCCUCCAAACUGUAUCAACUCUCUCCAACCCAGGUAUGUUAAUGUACAAACUGCCAAGAAGCAAACUUUUAAUAUUAUAGCUCUAUGCCUCUAUGUAAUUAUAAUCUUUUAGCAUUGUGUUAAGAAAGGAUUAUAGUUUAUAUCAUUCUCGACUUCCAGUUCCAGAUGUUAAAAUGACAAUAGUGCGCUGAGAAAACAUGGCAGAUUCUUGAUCUUGCAGGCACAAAUAAUUUGAAUCUCUUUUAGCUGGAAUUUUUUUAUAAUGCACAGGAUUUGACACUAGCAACUAUGUCAGUGAGGCCACAUUCUUUACAAGUUAAAUCAGAUGCAUCAGAAAGCCUGAUUGUCAGUAAAGAGAAGUAUGGUUCAGUCCAUCGCGUGUACAUUGUGGCUGAUCAAGAUAUGAUACUAUCCGAAGAAGUUCAGAGGUGGAUGAUUCAACUAAACCCACCAAAUGAUGUGAAGGUGAUCCAGGGUUCUGAUCACAUGACCAUGGUCUCUAAGCCACAGGAGCUCUCAUCUUGCCUUCUGACAAUUGCCCAGCACCACUGCUGAUGAAUUGCAGUAAAGUGUAACGGAAGAUCGAGGGGUAACGAGGGGUAAUGGAAUGAAAAAUUAUAAAUUCUUUUAUGAAAAUAGAAGAACGUAUAAGAAAAAGGAGACAUAUCCUUUAAUCUAUAUACAGUUAACGGAUUGUAUUCGAUUGAGAUUUUAAUUGAUUGUUUUUCGUCUAUGAAUUUUAAUAGAUUGUAUGUGAUUUUGAACUCUCAUCUUGCCUUCUGUCAAUUGCCCAGCACCACUGCUGAUAAAUUGCAGUAAUGUAAGAUUGUGUUGGAACGAAGAGAUAACGGAAUAAAAAUUGUAAAAAAAUUUAUGGAAAAAGAAGAAUGUAUGAGAAAAGGGAGACAUAUCACUUUAUGAGUUGCAUCGAGUAAUAAUUGUUGAAAAAGUAGAUAAAAAUAUAGAGUAAAUAAAUUUUUAAAAAUCUAAAAAUAUUAUCUAAAAUACUAGAUUUCGGAAUCUUUAAUUUGGAUGUAUACUAACGAUAAAAUGAUUUUUUUGAUAAAAAUUUUCAAAUUAAUGACUCAUUUAAGUCAUUUUUGUAAUCAAAAUAACUUACUUGAUACAUUUGGAAGCAGUAAGUGAACUACUUAAUAAUUAACCCGAUUAUUAUACUUUGGAUAAUUAGUCAAUAACUCCCAUCCGAAAUAUGUAUGGUUCAAUGAACUCAUGACAUCUGUAUGGUUCAAUGUACGUAUCCAUUUACAUCAAAAGCCAGAAAAUUAGGCAAGAAAAUUACUCUUUGGAUCUCUUUCAUCACUAUUUAUACCUAAAUUAUCUAUCACUAUUUAUACCUAAAUUGUCGGUUCAAGAACAUUUCAGAAAAUCUAUUUCAAAUAUUCUGUAAAUAAGAUCAAAAAAUACAAGGAAGAUGAGUCAACAUAUAAAAAAUUUAUACGUAAUAUAUAAAAAUAAAUAAAAUAUAUCUGUUAAUAAAUUAUUAUUAAAAACUUAACUCAAAAACAUAUAUCAAAUAGAGCCGACAAAAUAGCACUAAUUACCCCUUUCAAACCAAUAUAAACACAUCAAUCAUGACCAUCCAUGAAUAUACAAAAUUGUCAUUGACUAACGCAAAUUUAGCAUUCAAAUUGUAUAAAAAAAACUCGGUAGCAUUCAAACUCUAUAAAAUAUAAUUUAUAUUUUAUGUACAAUCCUAAAUUGUUCUCACGUCAAAAGUAGGAAAAUGGUGAGACCGGUUGACUGUUUUUGAUAAGUUUUGAAAUAUAAAAAAUUGAAUCGAACAUACAAAAAAUGAAAUGGUAAAAAAAUGGUUUGGCCAGGGGGAUAUUGUACUUCAGAAUUUUGACAUAUGUAUGGUUCAAUGUACCUAACCAUUUACAUCAGACAGGGACAAAAGCCAGAAAAUUAGUCAAGAAACGUAAACAGAGUUGGCAAUUAAAAUCCAUUCUUUCAAAAUAAAACCAAUUAGAAGAUGACAGAAAAGAGAGAGCCUCACUUUGUGCUGGUUCAUGGAGGUUGUCAUGGUGUAUGGUGCUGGUACAAGGUGGCAACACAGUUAAGAUCAGAGGGACACAGAGUCACUGCACUGGACUCAGCAGCUUGUGGCAUCAACCAGAAGCCGCUGCAAGAAGUCCAUUCCUAUUACGACUACUUCGAACCCCUCCUGGAGUUUCUGGCCACCUUAGCACCAGAUGAGAAGGUGGUUCUGGUGGGUCACAGCUUCGGUGGAUAUGGCUUGUCACUAGCUAUGGAAACCUUCCCUGAAAAAAUUUCUGUUGCUGUUUUCGUAACAGCUUUUAUGCCUGGUCCGGACCUUACUUAUCUUGCUAUAU